UACGGAGGGGGCUAGCGUUGUUCGGAAUCACUGGGCGUAAAGCGCACGUAGGCGGACAUUUAAGUCAGGGGUGAAAUCCCGAGGCUCAACCUCGGAACUGCCCUUGAUACUGGGUGUCUUGAGUAUGGUAGAGGUUGGUGGAACUGCGAGUGUAGAGGUGAAAUUCGUAGAUAUUCGCAAGAACACCAGUGGCGAAGGCGGCCAACUGGACCAUCACUGACGCUGAGGUGCGAAAGCGUGGGGAGCAAACAGG
rnacentral:rRNA from 1 species